GCCAGGCCCCAGUGACUGCUGCAGAAACGUUCACAGCCUCUGCCCAUCUGAUCCCACCCUGGGCCUGCUUCCCCGCACGUGCCGUUGUGUGGCCCACAUGGCUCCAGCGGACCCCACGCGUCGCAGUCUGCUGCAUUUGCUAGAGUCAAUGGAAACAGGAAGGAAAUGCCAGGGGCUUACGUGCUGUCCCCACUAGCCAUAGCUGUGUUCUUUAGGAUUCCCACCAUUGUUACUGGUGCCACACCAUGGGCGGCAGCAGCCAGUCACCGUCACCCCCCUCUGCUGCCAAUGCAGCUAGAAAAGUGUCACCAGGCACCAGAGUCUGUCUACACUAACACUCCCACCGCGGGCCACAAAAGCAGGGAGCACAGCAAGGCACAAGGAUAUAACAGGCUCCACGGAGGAUCCGGAUUUGGUUUGCUACAGGAACUGCAUUCAAUGCAAUUUCACCUGCGCUUGGAGAGCUAAGGCCACGUCAGGAAAUGCCACCUAUAUUCUUAAGUUCUGUUAUCACAGCACCCAUCCCUGCAAGGAAUUCAACGCAGCGUCCUCCACUCACUACCGCUUUUCUUAUCGGACACUGCGGCUCCUCCCGAACCUCACCGCCUGGGUGGAAUCCCACAGUGGAGGCAGAGUUGAGAGGACC
rnacentral:lncRNA from 1 species